rnacentral:rRNA from 1 species
UGCAGUCGAACGAGAAAGUACCCUUCGGGGUGCGAGUAAAGUGGCGAACGGGUGAGUAACACGUGGGUAACCUGCCUUUGAGUGGGGAACAACCCCUCUAACGAGGGGCUAAUACCGCAUAAUGCAGCGGCUCCGCAUGGAGACAGUUGUUAAAGGGGCAGCUUCGGUUGUCUCGCUUGAAGAUGGACCCGCGGUCCAUUAGCUUGUUGGUGAGGUAACGGCUCACCAAGGCAACGAUGGAUAGCCGGCCUGAGAGGGUGUACGGCCACACUGGAACUGAGAGAGGUCCAGUCCCCUACGGGGGCCAGCAGUCUAGAAAUUUGCGCAAUGGGCGAAAGCCUGACGCAGCGACGCCACGUGGAGGAUGAAGCCCUUAGGGGUGUAAACUCCUGUCAGAAGGGAAGAAUGCAGGAAAUAACUUUUCCUGUUUGACUGUACCUUCAGAGGAAGCCCCGGCUAACUUCGUGCCAGCAGCCGCGGUAAUACGAAGGGGGCAAGCGUUGUUCGGAUUUACUGGGCGUAAAGGGCGUGCAGGCGGACCGAUAAGUCGUCUGUGAAAUCUGUCGGCCCAACCAACAACUUGCAGUCGAAACUAUCGGUCUUGAGUACAGGAGAGGAGAGCGGAAUCUCAGGUGUAGCGGUGAAAUGCGUAGAUAUCUGGGAGAACACCGGUGGCGAAGGCGGCUCUCUGGCCUGAUACUGACGCUGAGGCGCGAAAGCUAGGGGAGCGAACGGGAUUAGAUACCCCGGUAGUCCUAGCUGUAAACGAUGGGUACUAGUGUUGGAGGUUUUGACCCCUCCAGUGCCGCAGCUAACGCAUUAAGUACCCCGCCUGGGGAGUACGGUCGCAAGGCUGAAACUCAA